GUAGCAUUUGCCAAGGGCCACAGCAACGGACUGACUUCAAGCUAGCAGCGGGCAGAGCUAUGCACAGAGGUCCUCCUGACCACCGUGGGGUCUCCUGAACUCUGUGCCAUCAUGCCACACCCUGCCUCUCCGAGACUACGUCCAGAUGUCCUGAUGGGAGCUGUGGGCUGUUCUCAGACUUCUUAGUAGCACAUUUACCAGGUGGAUUCUUUACCACUGAGCCACCCAGGAAGCCCUGUGUUAUAUACAUCCAACCACAAUUUUAUAAAAGGAAUUGUUGGUAUGGUAUUCAGCUAAGCAUAGACUUGUCAGGUGCCUCGUCAUCCAGCAUCAUUAUCCUUAAAGGAAAGUGGAUGUGGCCUACUCUUCACUCCAGCAAUCAUAUGAAGAUAAGUCUCUACCCUCUUGGAGGAGCGUGCUAAGUCAAUUCAGUCACGUCUGACUCUUUGCAACCCUAUGGACUGUAGAUCACCAGGCUCCUCUGUCCAUGGGAUUCUCCAAGGUGGGUUCUUUACCACUAGCGCCACCUGGGAAGCCCACUGGAGGAGCAGCAACCACGUUUAAGGCCUUGAUUUGACUCCAGGGGCAGACUAGAUUGGACUAGAAGGAAUCCCAGUGGCCUCGCCUGUGAUCCGCUUUGGACUGGAGCUGACUCACCUGGUUUAACACCUUGCAACCCUCUAUGUGCACCUAUGUGAAGCUAAGCCUACAGCCAAGGGGUCUUCCGGAUGCACCUUUAUGUCCUGGCUCUGAGGUCUGUGUGGUUUGGGGCCACAGAUACACCCCUUUUCUCAUCCAUAAAACAGGACUCACUUCACAGAACCAUGGUAAGGAUAAAAUCAUCCAAAGGAUAAUUUUAUCGUCAUGCAAAGACCUUGGCAUAAACCAAGUGCUCACAUAGUGAGAGACAUUAAGGUACUGGAUCUGGCCCUUAAAAGGAUGACUCAGUGUAUUCAAAACCUCAUUCCAUGGAUUACAGCGUCAAAGUCUUUCUCAAAUACCCUAGUGUCCUCUGUUUUUUUUCCAGGUAUCAGUUAAGGAGAGGCCAGGAAGAUAAUGGUUGAGGCCAAACAAGGACAUGUGUGGGUGAAGCGUGACCAGAGGGGAGGGUGUGGUCUGUGACAAAGCAGUGAGGGGAGGCCCUGCCAGGGAGCAGCCAUCUCUGCUCCAGCCAAGUGUUGCCAGGCAGUGGGAGUUGCAGGAUGCCAGUAUUUUUAAGAAAAGUCAGAAAAUCAGAUUUUUUUUUUUCCCCUGAAAUUCUCCAGAUUUUUUAAACUCUUCAAGUAAUUAAAAAAAUAAAGUUAAACCCUGUCCAGCCCAAACGAAAUAGAAGUCAGGGCUGAAUUUGGCACAGCUCCCCAGGUGUUACACUUGCUUUGAAGUCUGGAGGUCAGUCUGUGAGUUCCAAAUGCCAAGGCCACCUGGCCUCUGUCCCUGCUCUCUGUCCCUGCAUGUCUCCAUCCAGCCUCUUGACCCUCAAAAGGCAGGGGAAAAUACUUUUAUGUGUGGACAGCUGAAGAUUCGAUGUGAAAACCAUCAGAGGGAAGAAAUGGACAUUUCUGCAACUCCCUCCCCACCGUGCAGACAUUCUGUUUCCUUGGAGGCCAAAAGUCAACCUGCUUCAGCUGAAUUCAUUUCAACCAAAUUUCCUAAAUACCGCAGGCCAAGCACUAAGCUAGGCCUUGGGUAUGUCUUUUUUUUUUUUUUUUGCAUGCCUACUGUGUGCUUGGCAUGGAGUUAGAAGUUUUAACUACUUCAUCUCACAACAACCUUGUGAGGUAGAAAGGAUUGUUGCAGUCAAAAUCUUGGCUGUCUCUGCUCACCGAAGUUGAAUAAAAAAAUACAGAGACAGAGUUUGGAGGAAAUGGAAAGGUGGCUUUAACUCUCAGCGGGUGGAAGCGGGGAACACAGUACUCUCAUGCCUCAAGGGGCUUCCCAGCUGGUGCUAGUGGGAAAGAACUGAUCUGCCAAUGCAGGAAACAUGCAAGACACGGGUUCGAUCCCUGGGUAGGGAAGAUCCGCUGCAGGAGGGCAUGGUAACCCACUCUGAUAUUCUUGCCUCAAGAACUGUGCCCCCACCCCUUUUUCACGAGGAAUCUGGUGGAUUAUACAGAUGAGGGCUCACAGUCAGGGGUCGAUGAUGAGGAACAAAAAGUCUAAGGACCUUGUAUUCUUUUUCCUCUUCAGUUCAGUUCAGCUGCUCAGUUGUGUCUGACUCUUCGUGACCCCAUGGACUGUAGCAUGCCAG
ensembl:lncRNA